CGGGACGGGUGAGUAAUGUAUGGGGAUCUGCCUGAUGGCGGGGGAUAACUACUGGAAACGGUAGCUAAUACCGCAUAACGUCGCAAGACCAAAGCGGGGGACCUCCGGGCCUCGCGCCAUCAGAUGAACCCAUAUGGGAUUAGCUAGUAGGUAAGGUAACGGCUUACCUAGGCGACGAUCCCUAGCUGGUCUGAGAGGAUGAUCAGCCACACUGGGACUGAGACACGGCCCAG
rnacentral:rRNA from 1 species